AGUGAACGCUGGCGGUAGGCCUAACACAUGCAAGUCGAACGGCAGCUCAGUAAGAGCUUGCCCUUACGGGUGGCGAGUGGCGGACGGGUGAGGAAUACAUCGGUAUCUACUUUUUCGUGGGGGAUAACGUAGGGAAACUUACGCUAAUACCGCAUACGACCUACGGGUGAAAGCAGGGGAUCUUCGGACCUUGCGCGAUUGAAUGAGCCGAUGUCGGAUUAGCUAGUUGGCGGGGUAAAGGCCCACCAAGGCGACGAUCCGUAGCUGGUCUGAGAGGAUGAUCAGCCACACUGGAACUGAGACACGGUCCAGACUCCUACGGGAGGCAGCAGUGGGGAAUAUUGGACAAUGGGCGCAAGCCUGAUCCAGCCAUACCGCGUGGGUGAAGAAGGCCUUCGGGUUGUAAAGCCCUUUUGUUGGGAAAGAAAAGCAGCAGGUUAAUACCCCGCUGUUCUGACGGUACCCAAAGAAUAAGCACCGGCUAACUUCGUG
rnacentral:rRNA from 1 species